CGUAGGUGCGAGCGUUGUCCGGAAUUACUGGGCGUAAGAGUUCGUAGGCGGUUUGUCACGUCGUGUGUGAAAUCCCACAGCUUAACUGUGGGCUUGCAGGCGAUACGGGCAGACUUGAGUACUGCAGGGGAGACUGGAAUUCCUGGUGUAGCGGUGAAAUGCGCAGAUAUCAGGAGGAACACCGGUGGCGAAGGCGGGUCUCUGGGCAGUAACUGACGCUGAGGAACGAAAGCGUGGGAGCGAACAGGAUU
rnacentral:rRNA from 1 species